rnacentral:tRNA from 1 species
CCGGGGAUAAGUGCUAAAUUGGACUCAUAAUCCUUUGGUCGCGGGUUCAAGUCCCGCACCCCCUACCG